AAACUUUCAACAACGGAUCUCUUGGUUCUGGCAUCGAUGAAGAACGCAGCGAAAUGCGAUAAGUAAUGUGAAUUGCAGAAUUUAGUGAAUCAUCGAAUCUUUGAACGCACAUUGCGCCCCUCGGUAUUCCGGGGGGCAUGCCUGUCCGAGCGUCAUUA
rnacentral:rRNA from 1 species